UGUGGCUGUCGUAAAAACCCUAUUUGUAAACAACCAGUCCUUUAACUCGGGGCUGCGUCAUAAACACGGAGCGCUUGGAAGACCACGAUGUCAUCUUCCUUCUGUCAGGAGGAUCCAAGUGAAGCUACAGGAGUUUCAUUAACGUCAAUAACUUGGACCGAACACUUUGUUUUGCUUGAUGAAGAGCAGGAAGGGCAGCCUGGAGAGAAAGAGUAGCCGGGUUGAGCCCACUAAUAUCAUCCACGUACCACGAGGAAGAUGAGGGAGAGAAAUGAUCCUACCAUUAAAGAGACUGUGAAAAGAACGUUGAGAACAUCACCACUCUACAGGAAGACACAGUCCAGUAAUGGGUGUCAGAAGUUCAGUAGUGAACGACAGAAACAAACAAUCAAAAUUACCUGCAGAAAGCCCUUGAUGGACGCUUAAGCUGCAUCGUCAGACUGG